AUGGAAAAGAAAUGCAAAAAAGCAAAAUGGCUGUCUGGGGAGGCCUUACAAAUAGCUGUGAAAAGAAGAGAAGUGAAAAGCAAAGGAGAAAAGGAAAGAUAUAAACAUCUGAAUGCAGAGUUCCAAAGAAUAGCAAGGAGAGAUAAGAAAGCCUUCCUCAGUGAUCAAUGCAAAGAAAUAGAGGAAAAGAACAGAAUGGGAAAGACUAGAGAUCUCUUCAAGAAAAUUAGAGAUACCAAGGGAACAUUUCAUGCAAAGAUGGGCUCGAUAAAGGACAGAAAUGGUAUGGACCUAACAGAGGCAGAAGAUAUUAAGAAGAGGUGGCAAGAAUACACAGAAGAACUGUACAAAAAAGAUCUUCACAACCCAGAUAAUCACGAUGGUGUGAUCACUGACCUAGAGCCAGACAUCCUGGAAUGUGAAGUCAAGAGGGCCUUAGAAAGCAUCACUACGAACAAAGCUAGUGGAGGUGAUGGAAUUCCAGUUAAGCUAUUUCAAAUCCUGAAAGAUGAUGCUGUGAAAGUGCUGCACUCAAUAUGCCAGCAAAUUUGGAAAACUCAGCAGUGGCCACAGGACUGGAAACGGUCAGUUUUCAUUCUAAUCCCAAAGAAAGGCAAUGCCAAAGAAUGCUCAAACUACCACACAACUGCACUCAUCUCACACGCUAGUAAAGUAAUACUCAAAAUUCUCCAAGCCAGGCUUCAGCAAUACACGAACCAUGAGCUUCCAGAUGUUCAAGCUAGUUUUAGAAAAGACAGAGGAACCAGAGAUCAAACUGCCAACAUCCUUUGGAUCGUCAAAAAAGCAAGAGAGUUCCAGAAAAACAUCUAUUUCUGCUUUAUUGACUAUGCCAAAGCGUUUGACUGUGUGGAUCACAAUAAACUGUGGGAAAUUCUGAAAGAGAUGGGAAUACCAGACGACCUGACCUGCCUCCUGAGAAAUCUGUAUGCAGGUCAGGAAGCAACAGUUAGAACUGUUCCAAACAGACUGGUUCCAAAUAGGAAAAGGAGUACGUCAAGGCUGUAUAUUGUCACCCUGCUUAUUUAA
rnacentral:lncRNA from 1 species